CGGGAUCGUGAAGGGGGGGUUAUGAAACUGGAUAGCAGUUCGCCAUGCUGGCUCCUACAGCGCUAUGUUUUACUAUGCACGUUUACACUGUGUUGGAUCCGAAAUGCCGACAGUUUUGACUUGCUCUGCUCAGUGACGCGUGCUCUCGGUUUGUUAUUCCACAGGCUGCUGCUCCGUGUCUGCGGGUUAUUGUACCUGGAUGAUUCUGUGUAAUCGGUUGCUUUCUAACGAUGGACGGUUUGUUUGCUUUUUUUUAACGCAAUUGUUUUAGUUAAGAGGCGCUUUAGCUAUAAAACGCAAGACUUUAAAGAGACAGCAACUUAGACUGCAGAGAGAGAGGUCAACAAAACUUAACUACGGUAUUCUCAUAGGAAAGCAGUGUAGAGUUAGGAGACUGCAAAUUAACUAGAACCUAUAAUUGGGAAUUAAUCCAGAAGCGGGGAUCGGAGAUUCUUAAAAAACAGACACAGUAUAAUUUCAGUGUCAGAGAAAAAUGGUUUAACUGUAUGUAUAUGUCGGGAUUAUAAAUGUACUUGAUAUAAAAUAAGAGUUAUUUACCAAUUUGUUUGCUAUCUUUCCGCCUUGGAGAGAGGAGCUGCGUGCAGUGAGUACAACUGUACCGUAAUGAUUGUAAUAGCAGGGAGUUCACGACUGGAAGCAGAAUAAAUUGGCUAUGACACCUCAGCCACAACUUGUACAAAAUAAAUAGACCUAAACUCCAGUAAACCAACGCAGGUAUUGACACAUCACUGCGCUCAAUAUUUUUCACAUAAUUUGUAAAUAAAACAGCGUUUUCAACUCCGUGCUCGAGUGGACUACGCUUAGUUCCGGUAAAGGCGGAUAUGACGUCAUCGAAGGACGGUCAAGGCGCGAAUUGACUGGUUAACAUUGAAAUCUCGUGUUUUCUUUAUUAAAAAAAAAAAUCUCUUCAAAAAUAAGGCAAAAUGCCAAACAUGUGUGUGGCGUAUGGAUGUUCUAAGUCACCUAAAGACAACGUGACUGUAUUUAAAUUCCCAAAGGACUUGGUCUGCUUUCGUAAAUGGGAGCAACAGGUGCAGCAGACGAGAGCCAAUUGGCACGCAAAGCCAUCAUCGGAUUUGUGUAGCGACCACUUCGAGUUGGACUGUUUCGAAGUUAAACCAUUUUUUAUGCUGCAGUUGGGUGUCAGUCUUAAAUGUCCUCUAAGAUUAAAAAAAGGAGCAAUACCGUCUAUUUUUGUGCCGCCUCCGUCUGUCACCCCAGGGUGCGGACAGACAGCAGGGAAUUCUAAGCGCUCCACGAAGGAUGAUGAGCCGACUACAUCAUGCACCCCCAAAAGAAAGAGGGGCGGAGUUGCGUUUGAAAAGAGGGAGCAUGCAGGGGAUGCUGGCUGUCAGACAACAAAGCCCCAUGGACCCUCCAGAAUAAGUAAACGGACACAGACAAGGUUUUGUGGGAAAGAUAAAGUGAGAACAGAUCAGCCUCACUCAAAGGAAGUUUCUGAGAUGGAAGCAGCUCACAUCAGCCCAGAGCUUCCUAUUCGAUGGGUUGUUUCUGCAGACAGGACUGUUGAGAUCAAGGAGGAAGUGACUGAGCUGGGGUGUGACCAGGCCAAUGAGCGGAUCCUGCAGGAGGAAACGCCACCUUCUAGUAUCACUGAGAGAGAUCUCCCUCCCGACUGGUGAGGGCGCUAGGGAGGAGGAGCAGACAUCCCCAGGAAAGGUGGAAGGCGGCCACCUGGAAAGGGGGCGGGACCACGGUGUGCAACGUCAUCAACCCAGAUGGGAAGUGCGGAUUGGUUGACGGCGGUUGCCCUCGCUGACCAAUGGGGACGGGACGGAGCGUACAAAAGGGGGCGUGGCCCAGGGUUCUGUUCCUUCUGGCAAGAGCACUAACGGGACGCUCCGGGAAUAUGCCGGAGGAGCGCGAACCUGGAAGUGCCGGAAUUGUUUCCCGUCCUGGAUGAAGGAAAGACAGACUGUGUUCUAUUGUUUUUUUUUGUUUCCGUUUCUCUUUGUUUGGGACUGCGAACCCUCGUUACAUUUUUGUUUGUCGGCUUACACAUCGCUGUGUAUCCCGGCGUCAUUAUUAUUGUGUUUGGGUUAAAUUAAACCCUGGACUUGUGCAUUGAAACUGGACUGGUCUGUCAGUUAUUUACACCACACGCUCAGCCAACCUGUCACAUCAUGCUAUAGAAAAAUGGUUGUGGUUUCAAAACCGUGGCGGUUUACCAUUAAACCGGUAUACCGUGACAUCCCUAGUUCUAGGGAGCAGCAUAAACCCGGCGGUUCUAAUGUUAAAGAAAAGUUAGGCUGUAGUGUUAGCACCACUCUUCAAU